AUUGAUUUCCUUUCCUCGCCUUCUGAUGCAUUCCUUUCUCUCUAUAGCUUAGUAUAGCACUUUUUAAUAUAAUAUCAUAAUAUAAUAAACCAGCCUCCUAAGAAACAUGGAGCCAGAUUCAUGUCUUUCCUUGUCCUGGGACCCACAAACACAUUGACAGUGAGGCAGCUGUGCCCUGCAGCCUGUGAAGGUUCCACUGUACAGCAGAGAUCCACCUGCAGCCCAUGGAGGGACCCACACCAGAGCAGGACUCGGGGCACCAGGAGAAGCUGGGCACCUUGAUGGCUGCUGGAAGCACUCAACUCCAGAUGAGCACAACAUGAGCACAGCACACCAUGGUGUCUGCCAUGAGAUCCUGAUUCUCAGGGGUCUGGAUUUUGUGACAGGAGCUGUCUCUUAGCCUGUGGUAACUUGGGAAUUCAAAGAGAGAUGGAAACUGGAAACAGCUGCGACUCCCAGAGAGCUCUGAAGGAUUAUGGCCUAUAAAAUGACAACAAUAGCAGAACUUUUUCAGCUGAUAUUGGUGAAUUUGCAGCAGGCAUCAGCAGUAGCAUUUCACCAGAGAUGAAAGUGGCUUAAUAAACUGUGUUUGUGUCAGUGCUGCAUGAUGCAUGUGUACAGCACUGCCACCCAGAGAAAAACAGGCAGCUUGGGAACUGGUGACUCAGAAAGCAGAAUUAUGGUUAUGCUGAAGGAGCAGGACUACAUUCUUCAAACACAGGUUAUACAUCCCCAGUUAUUUAUAAGUUUAAGUUCAAUUAGCUGAUGAUUGUUAAAAUGUCACUUCUUGGAGUUAUGGUUUGUUGAUAUAAUUAUCAAGUAACAACAUGCCUUGUUCUCUUUUUUAAUUAUGUAGCCAAUAUUCUGCUAAAUAGGAUGAAGCAAAAGUAUAGACAUACAGUUCAAGAAUAGAUACAAUCAGACAAAAAGUAUUAUGCUGAGCCCCAAAAUUGUUAAUACUUUUUCUGGCAGGAGCAAAAUAUGAAUGAUGUUCAAAAUAAUUAAAAUUGUUCAGGAUUAUCCUUAUGGAUAAGUUGAAGAGAUGAAGAUUUAAGGCUUAGAGAUGACAUGCACAAAAGGGAUGCUGAGACAGUUCUGCACACAAAUAAUGAUAAAAGGUAAAUCUGAUGUGUCCAUUUACUCUGUCUGGAAAUCCAAUAGUAUCUAGAUUUGUAGAAUAGCGAGGUGUGUGAAAACAGAAGCUGUAGAAAUAGAACUAGUUUGCUAUAUAGUUCUGAACAGGAGAGAAGAACAUAAAUUGGUCUGUGUUAUUCUUGUAGAAAAAAAGGAAUUUAAUCAGAAUCAUCAAGAACAAAUCUAUCUCUACCUAAGGAAAAAAACAAAAAGAACAGCACACUGCUAGUCUAGCUAGCUUAAAAUGGAACAAUAAGCUCUUUUGUUUCAGGACAAAAGUCAGUCAUAAGCAAAGUUAAGCUAGCAGCUGUUCUCUAGGGAGCCUCCUGUACUCUGGUCCAACAUUUGCCAUUCUCAGUGAGAUAUUAUCAGAUUAGAUAUGCCCAUAUCUAGGAGUUGGAUGUGCCAAAUUGAAUGAGCUGGUAUGUCCCUACAACAUAAGACCUGUUCCCUCAUUAAAAAAAAAAAAGAAAUAAACAAAAUAAUUUAGCACAAUCAGCUCAUAAUCAUGCAGUUUUCAAAGUGUCCAUUAAAAAUAAUGAAUAGAAGCAGUCAGGGAAAAAAUGGAACCAGGAUGGAUGUGCUAAGCCUGAGGGUUUGAGGGCAGUAUAUCAAACAUGACUUGACUCUUUUCAUUCAAUACAACAUGAUUGUUAAUGAGGAACAAUCAAUAAAUGUUCUUCAAAUAAAACACCAGAGAGCUGCACAUGAGAUAAGCAAACAACAGGAAUUUGCCAAGAGGGGAUGCACCUUCCUUUGUUAUUACAAUAACCAUUGCUAAUGCCUUGAUUGAGACCCAGGGGAUGCCUGUAAACAUUGCUUCCUCGUUCGUUGCAUAUAUUAGUCCUAAAUCCUGUUCUAGGCAUUCCUAUCUAAAGGAGAUCCAAAAUACUUUAACAUCAAAUGUUUCAGUGAAAACAAGGAUCAGGGUGGAUUUUCAGUGUAAGUAAAAAAUCAAAAUCCAAUCGAUUACCUGUCUAUCCCAUAAUUAUAGAGAGAUGAUAGAAACUUCAAACUGAAAGAUGUCUCCAUUUUGUUAAACAGCUUCAUUUCAAAUCCAUAUGGAAAAAUAUGAGGUUAUGUUGCAUUGUCUUCAAUUUUUUUUUGUGGACUGCAAUUUUUAUUUAUUAGAACAACUUAAGCUUGAAAACUUACAUCUUGACUCAGAAGUAAGCUCUCAUUCAUUAAAAUAUGUAAGAACUAUAUACAUACUUCUAGACAGACAGAUAUAAUCCUUUUCUGUGCUUCUGUAUUCAGGGACGUUUAAGUGAAAGUCUGCAGAUAAAUCUCCAGCUAAAAAUUAAAUGACUUUACCAGCUGUCCACAGCAGGAACAGUCUGUAACUCGUCUAUUAUCUCAUCUGGUCUCACCAGCUAAGUAUGGUUUAGCCUAGUGAAUUCUAAGAUGACAGACCUGUAAAAAACCAUAGGUUUUGGGUACUGCUGCCAGUUUAUUUGUUAUUCAUAGGUGGCAUACUUCCCUCUCUGUCACUUCAGUGUGAUUUCUAGAUGCUACUAAGGAGAUUUUUUUUUCAGAUUAAAUAAAAAGCAGGAGAAUAAAUAUGAUUUGAAAGGGCAAGACAAGGAUUUUCUUUCAGUUUCCAUCAGCAGUUAUAAUAAACAAUAUAUCUUUGUUUGAAGUUCAGGAUUUUUUGUCUUCAUAUCUACUUGUGUUUUAAGUCCCUCCAGAUGGGGGAACUGUCACGACAGACAACUACAAUUUUUGAGCUUUUGGAUUGUUCUGAAACACAGAAAACUCUGUUGGAAGGGCCUACCAACUAUUGGGUGAAUACUAUAUUUUUUGAGAGGUUCUGGAUGGGAAGAUCAAGACAAAAAAAACUACUUGUUCUUCUUUGUAAUGUAGGCUGGCAAUCUAAAAUUUUCAACAUGAACAUACUCCCAGGAACUACAUAGAAGAUCAGUCUAUAAACUCUUCCAGUGCCUCAGACUGUACAGAAUGUUAGGAAAAGCAUUCAACAUUCAUAAACUGAUGUAACUCAGCUGGGUUUUUCCCCCUCCUUGAUGCUAUGUAAGUUGGACCGCUCAGCAGCACCCAAAAAUAUCAAACUGGUGCACAAACAGUACCACAGCCCUUACCCAUGUGAUUUCUGGGCUUUUGGGACUCAGCAUGCAGAGCUGGGCUGUGCUCAGCUGGGCUCCAAGUGCUCCAGCACUGGGGUUUUUUAGGACAGCAGACCGUGCUGCUUUUGUUUUAAUGCUGAUUAGCACCACGCCAUCAUUUUUUUAUGUACAGAGCUGCACCUGCAUCGUUUCAAUGACGUACUGCCUGCAUUAUUUCACAGGUAGGGGCAGCCAAGCAGGUCCUGUCAAUGCAAUGGUGACUGGUCCCAUUGAGCUCUUGCCGUGUUGGGCACCAUCCUCUUCCUGCCUAGGUGGAAGGCACUAAGCAGCAGUGGUGAGCUGUGCAGAAUGCCUCUUGUAAAGCCUGUGGCUAGCUGACAAGAUGAGUCUUGGGUAGGCAUGAGUGCCUGCAUGCACACAAGUACACAAGGAGCCUUAUGGUUUGUCCUGCUGUGUGGUAAGAACACAAAUAAUUUAAUCCACCGUGACAGCAGAUGUGGAUGAGAAUUUCAAGACAGCACUUGAAAUCCAGGAGCAGCAGGGAUCCAUCCAAAAAGCUCUCCAGCAUAUCUUCUGGAGUGCAGGUGAUUUGACUCCAGAGCUGCCACCCCUCCCACCACCACAUGCUGCUGCUUUGGAAACCUCAGCCUUGUCCUUCAUAUGAAAGGGAAGCUGGUCCUGGUCAUUGGAAAUACCUUUCCCCAUGUCCACCAUGACCCAAAAAAUCUUAACGUUAUAAAAUAGGAUGAUUUGCAGGCUGCAUGGAAAGCAAAGUAAUGGGAUUCCUUGGGGUAAAUAAGCCAGGGUUUAUCCUACACACUCAUGCUCAGUAGACACGCCAGUCUGCAGAGCACACAAUUUAGAAGUGCCAUGACUCAAAGACUCCUUCUUGUUAGAAAAGAAGCAAAACCCACAUGUUUAGGGGCUUUCAGGAAAAAGAAAUCUACCAACUUGAUAUUGACUGUCAUUUAACCUACAGGCAAAGCUGUCAAGACCUUGUAAUUACAACUACCUGAAUUAUACUGCAGGUAUUGAUCCUCCAUGGUGUGGAACAAGGGUUAUAUUUUGACCCCACGAUUUCUUUCCACAGAACAGCUGGGGUUUGACAACAACAGAGAAUCAAUAUCUGGGUAAAACAUUAAGGAGCUUUUUUCCCUUCCAGUGAUAAUUCAAUUCAGCAGCUAUAAAGAAGAAGUUAAUUCUUUGCCUGAUAGUGUUUGUGCUUUCAGAGACUUUCUGCCCGACUGUUUCAGAAAAUAUCUCUGUCUAAAAUGGCCAGAGCACUUUAUUCAAAAUCACCAAUUCCCUGCCAUCCGUCUUAGGUGGGCCUCAUUGUUAUGAGCCUCUUUAGGAUAUUUCAACUGAAAAAUCAUAUUUCUAUUCCAGUUGCCAUGGAACAGACAGCCUCUCCUGGUGGAAAGAAGAGCUGGCACUACAUUGUGGAAAAGAAACCUCCCAUAAAUGUAUUUUUUAUGACUCAUAAGGAAAGCUUGAUUCUGACACGUUUACAGAAAUCAACUGGCUGAUUUUUAUGGAAGUGCUCUGCUUGAUGAAGGAGGGGAGAACUGCUACAAAAUAAAUAGUAAAUAAUAAUUAAAUAUAAAAGAAAAGUUCUAAGAAUUUAGGCUCACAUCCUGCAAUCUGCUUUGGGCAUACUUCAGUUUGGCUCCACACAGAACAGCUUGGAUGACUGUCGUCUUAAAUUGGCCGUAAUUGCUUUGCUAUCUGUGCAGGGGAAUUUGGCCAUGUAUGAUCCCCCGUUCCCUUGCCAAAUUCCAAGAUUAUUUCCUUGAAACAUCUAGCAAGAUGGAAGGUGAGGGUAUUUGGAUGGGCAUACAGACCACCUAUUUCUCAUUGUAGAGCCAACACGUGGUGCCAGGGACUCUGCUCUUGUUUGGCCUGUAAAGGGGCACCGUGGUCAUUUUGGCAGGUACACACAGCACAUUAGACAGCACUGAAUCCAUUAGUGGGAUUUCACAGUCUGAUCAUAAAGAGUGCAAGGAGAUAAAAUAAUCAAAUUCCUCUGAAUAUAAGGCUAUGAAAGAAUGGAAAGAGCCAUAGAAAAGUCUCAUUUUUAAAGUUCAAACCAUAGAUUCAUACUCUUCUGAGAUUUGAUUUAAAAUUGCUACUGCUUCAAGUACAGAAAAUUUAAAACAUGUAAACAAACACCCCCCCAAUAUCAACCAGUACAAUGCAUAAGUAGCAGUUCCAGAUCUGGAAGUGGUACCUUAUGACUUAUUAUAAAGCUCUGUUCACUCUGAAUACUAAUGCUGACAAAUUAAAUAUCUUCAUUCUACCACGUUCAUGGUCUCAUCAGCACGAAGAAGUGCAAUGUUCUUUUUACCUGGCAGUAGGCAGCAGUAAUUAUGAUUAUAUAUUAAGCAAUAUAGUGAUUUGUUAUUGUGAAAGGUUCCUCAAGCAUACUUUCCAAGCCACCUCCAGCUUUGUGUUAAGAAAGAAUAAAAGGGGAGAUUCACUCCUAAUCAGGUUUCUGAUCAGUGUCAGGAGAGACUGCCAGACAGAGCCAAAGCUCCAAAAUAUGUAGUCUAUUUACUGGAACCUUUAAAUUUCCCAGGACAAUUUCUGCAAUGCACAGAAAUAUUUGUCCAUUGCAUUUUACAUCCAAACAAGAACAAUGCACCAAGAGUGGAACAUGUGGAUUAACGGGAAAUAAAUCAAGCUCAACCAAAACCAAAGGUAGACAGACAAAAAAAGGAGACAAGGAAAAAUUUUGUGGCCUUUACCACAUAAUUCUAGCUCUGUGUCAUACAAAUUAGGUUUCAUGUCCUGUGUAGUCAUGAGGUAUUGGGAGAAAUAAAAAUAGACCUUAAUUGUUAUUCCUUGAUAAUUUCUAUUCAAAAGGUGUGACUUAAGAGAGAACUGUAUCAAGGCUGGAAAGUAUGAAGUGGGAACAUCUGGAGAU